AAGAAACAGUCUUCUUAACAGAAACUCCCUUAGGUUUGUUUAAAUUGAGAUAUUACCAUUCAUCAGGGACCCCAAGCAGAAGAUGGCUUCCCCUCGUCGGCAGAACUGGAUUUACCCCAAGCUCCUCCUCCACUGUCGCCAUUUCCCUGAGACGGCUCGAUAUUCCAACUGGAUGUAGGCUUCUCCCAGCCCCCUCCUCCUCCAGCACCUACAUUGGCUUCUUUGUUCCAGUUGCCCUUUUCUUUGUCCGCACCAGAAGUCUCAGUAGGUUUCCCCCAACCUGAAUUCACAUCCUUCUUUACUGUUUGAUUCUCACUUCCUGUUUUCCAGUCG
rnacentral:misc_RNA from 1 species